UGGGGAAUAUUGCACAAUGGGCGAAAGCCUGAUGCAGCGACGCCGCGUGAGGGAUGACGGCCUUCGGGUUGUAAACCUCUUUCAGCAGGGACGAAGCGCAAGUGACGGUAACUGCAGAAGAAGCACCGGCUAACUACGUGCCAGCAGCCGCGGUAAUACGUAGGGUGCAAGCGUUGUCCGGAAUUACUGGGCGUAAAGAGUUCGUAGGCGGUUUGUCGCGUCGUUUGUGAAAACCAGCAGCUCAACUGCUGGCUUGCAGGCGAUACGGGCAGACUUGAGUACUGCAGUGGAGACUGUAAUUCCUGGUGUAGCGGUGAAAUGCUCAGAUAUCAGGAGGAACACCGGUGGCGAAGGCGGGUCUCUGGGCAGUAACUGACGCUGAGGAACGAAAGCGUGGGUAGCGAACAGG
rnacentral:rRNA from 1 species